GGGCGGCGCGGAGUUAACGUAAUAGAGAUGGCUACGCAUGUAGAACCGAUAGCGGAGAGCUGGCGGACGGGGGUUCAAAUCCCCCCGGCUCCACCA
rnacentral:tRNA from 1 species